AAUAAGACGAUGACGAGAAGAGUAGUGCAUUGGCCAUCAAUACAGAAAGCCCUGGUUGGAUGAGAAGGGAUGAUGGGUCUUGCAUGAAGAUGAGCUCUGAGUCUUUUGUGGGUUAACGCUCACAAAACGAUUAGCCCUUGUUAACUGGCUCAAGUUUGAUAGAACUUUGAGAUUGUAUCUGUGAAGAUACAGUGAAUUAGGGUGGUACCACGAAUUUUUUCGUCCCUUUA
rnacentral:ncRNA from 1 species